CUUCAACGCAAACGGUUGUUAAGAACGGAUAAAGAUAAUUUGAAACGGUCAAAACUGUGUUGGUUUUUUUUUUGGAAAAUAGUAGUUACUUUUUUUGUAUGUGUGCAGAAUUUAAAAAGUAACAACAACAACAUAAACAAAUAAGUGUUGAAAAUUUAGAAAUAUGAAAAGAAUAAUAAGAUUUAAAAGUAAUUCAAAGUAAAAAGAAAAUUUCUUUAAAAUUAGCUGUUUUUAAAAAAGUGCUCAUACGUUAAGGUGGUGCUUCACUAAAAUAACUAUUGAAGUCAUAUUACUCAUACGCAGUGGUAAACGUCUUUCCAUAACAAUUAUUAUAUGUAAAAUAAUGUAAAAUAUGAAAUGUAAAAAAAAAAUUAAAUUAUUUUAAAAAUAUUAUUUUGAAAAAUUUAUUAGUGGAGUGAAAAAAUUUUGAAAAAUAUAAAUAAAAUAUCAAGCCCGUUUAAUUGACUUGAAAAAUUUACAAAAUUUAUAGUGUUACAUAACCGUGAAUCUGGAUUAUAUCCAACUUUAAACAUUUACGAGACUAAUUUUCGUCAAUUUCAUCAUCCAGCCAACAAUAACAGCAGCAGCAGCAACUCACACAUCAUCAGCAACAGUGAAAGCAGUAACAAUAUCAUCAUCAUCAUCAUUUGCAGCAACAAUAUUGUCAGCAUCAGCAGCAACCAACAAUAACUACAUUACAUUUUAAUUUUGGUUAUUUUUUCCAUUUUUAUUAUUAUUUCUUGAGAAAGAGGAAUUAAUUCGUUAAAUAAGAAUAAAUACAUAAAAAAACGUUAAAGAAGAAAAAAGUUUAAAAUCUUUUUUAUGUAAAAAUGAAAAAAGAAAAUUAAAGCAAAUUUUUAAACUUGUGAAAAUAUUUAAAUUCUCUUACAAAUUUCUAAAGAAAAAACUAGAGGUUUCAAUUUACUUGUUAUAUAAAACUCAAGAACUAUGAUUCAAUAGUGUUUUACACACACACACAUCUACAAGUACUCAUUCUCAACUCAAGUACAUACUUGACAAUUACCAAAGUCUUCGUUUAUUUUUCCUGGCCAUAGGAG